AGCAGCCUAACAUCCAAGCAUUCCAAGUGUCCGAGGGGAAGAAAGCAAUUGGCAAGGGAGGCAGGCUCACAGAGCGAGGAAGCUGGAGAUGGUUACGUCCCACGUGCCACUUGCAAGGCCUCUAACUGCAGGAGUGGUCACGUCACCUGUCAGACCCCGAGGCCUUUCCUUUCCACCAAGGAGAGGAGGCAUCUGCUCCACGGGAUCCCAUGAAGCUCAGAAGCCACGAGGCGUCUAGAAACACCCCUGUAAGCUGCACAGUCGCAGAGGACUAUUGGCGGGAACCCAUCGGGGUGAUUUUGCAAGCUCAGAUGGAAAGACUCUCCCAUUUAAGGAAUGGCACUCAGGAACGAGGUCCUCAGCUCACUCCAGUGUCGGCGAGCACCUAUUCAACUAGGCUUUCCAAAGCACAGCUCCCAGCACUUCUUGCCACAGAGUUGCUAUGAUCCAAAGAGUCAAGAGACAAUGGACAGCCUGCAAGCCAAGCUCCGGAGGAUGACUAGACAAAAGGGAAAGCCUACGAACACCAUGGAUUAUCACCUGCAAAGACUUAACCCUGUCACUCAAAUUUCCUCUCGCCUUGGGCAUGGUGCAAUACCUCCAGGGCCUCCGUAAACCCGGGGCACAACAAUAACACAUCUCUGAACAGUUGUGAUAAGCAAAUGCAUAUGUAAAACGCUUUGUGCCUGUAACGUGCUAUGCAGAUGGUCACUACUAUUAAUGACCUGGAUUUUACUGCAAAGGAAACCUUGGGCCAGAUUUACAUUUCUGGCCGACAGUGACUCAUACAACUUCCCUCCUCGAGCACCUGGUUGAGCAAACAGGCCUAGGCAUCAUCCUGCGGUUAACUGCUUGAAGAGUUACUGAUUCUUCCUUGAAGGAACUGAUUCUUCCUUAGGCAGCUGAGUCUCUGAGCAGGGAUUGAGCACAAUUGCAAUCACCCCACUCCCACCCCCAGGGGAUGCUGGAGCGACUCAGGUGAGAAGAUUCUCUAGGCCUACUUUCUCUGUACCUGCCCAUUGCAGGAUGGAGGAGAAUAGUGUUAGCAGAUGGAAGCUUUCUCAGGUUUGCAGACCACAAAGCUGAAACAGGAGGGGCAAAAAUAGUGACCCCCCCUCAAACAGCAAGGAAUGGGGGGGGGGGUUCGUCCAGGCGUCUUUUCUUAAUUCAGAGUAACCAGGGCAAGACCUUUCUGCUAAGUGCUUUGAUUUCUAUAUAGGCCUAUGUUUCUAGGAUUCAACCCGACCUCCAUUGUUCUAAUGGCUGCUAGCUGAAGAACACUCAAUUCUAUUAACUAUGAGAUGCAAUAGAAUUUUCCCUAAUUGAUCUUUCUGACCCAGGUGUUGGUUUUGCUGGGGGCGCCUUCAUGGAGUUUCUUCCUUGACUCCUCUUGAGUGGCCCAUCUGUCCCUAAAAGAUGGUCACUGCUGUCUUCCCUCUAGUCCCGCCUCCGCCCUUACCUGGUGAACACUCCUACCCACCUGCAUACCUGCUCUGGGACAUGGCCAAAAAGACCUUCGAGGGGCGGCAAAGCAGAAAGGUCAUAAUUCAGAAAACAGAUGUGGCAUUUGACUACAACCCCCAAGGUACUCCCAGGGGAGGGUGUGAGUGGCAAUAUUGCUGCUAACAUUUCCCCAGAGACUGCAGGAGGCUACACAGCCACAAACAGGGGUGCUUCUGACAGGCAGCCACAGGGGCAGCCUGAUUUGAAGGGGAAGGGGAACCAAACUCUUGUCACGCUGCCGAAGAGCUGGCCCCCAAGGCUGUGGUACUCCUUCCCUACAGCUACGAACUUGCUCCACUAGAAACCCCCAAGAUCUGAGAAGAGACUAAUAUCCCUGUGCUUAAGAAGAGGGGACCAUGACAGCUGUAAGACUCAUAACCUCCAGGGUAUCCCCAUGCCUGUUAUCUCCUUGAUUUUCAUGCAGGCCAGGUGGGGGGUGGCUAGGGAUAGGCUCCACCUCCCUUAUUGUAGAUGAAGACAUGCUUCUGAAGGCAAGAAGGUUGAAAACCUUGGGUCAGAUUUCUGAUUUUAAUUUCCGUUCUCCCCUCACAUACAGUUAACAUAUCAUCAGCUUGGGGUAAUAUUUUAUUAGCGAUCAAGCGAGAGAGGGCCAGUAUUCUAAGUCAUUGCCAAAGGCACAGGAGCUAAUCAGUUCACCCCUGCCCUUCAGUAAACAGUUUAGGGGAAGAAGUCAUUUGUGAAAUUAAAGCAGC